AACAAGGCCUCGAGGCUUUUUUCCUGUAUUUCUGAGGGCCUAACCCUUCUCCCAGGGCAGAGUUGAGAGGCUUAUAUGAGAGGUUUCUGGAAGGGCAGGCUCAGUAUCUGACACUGACAGUGUCUCUUGGCCUGGGAUCGCCUGAGGGCCCUGUGAAGCUUCAGAGCAGUGCCUGAAACACUCUGAGGACAGAAACUCAGGGACCAACACACCUGUUUCCACAGAGCUGGCCCCUGCCUCUGCUUCCUGGAAGCACUGCAAGAGUGCCUGCAGUUAUAGCCGGGAGAUGACCACAGUGAGAAGCCAGAGAAGAGGUAAACAGCAACCUUGGGCAAGCAGGAAGGCAGAAGCAGAUGCUUGGAACCACCCAGAGGUUUUCUACCACAGAAUGUGUAACUUUGAUUUUCACACACAAAAUGGUCUCAACAGUGGUUGAAAUAUACAAAAACAGAAACCCCAAUCCAGCCCUUAGCCUGAUGCUCUGCAUGCUGUUAAGAAGGGGGUGUUGAAUGAUUCCAUUUAUUUGAAAUACCCAGGAGAGGGAGAAGGUUCAUUUGAGAACUUCCCCUGCUGAAGCUUUCCCUGACCCUCUGGGAGGGGCCGGACCCUCCGUCUGUGGUCCCACAACCCCUGAGGAGGAGGAGGCACUCAUCAGGUCCCUUGGCGCCUUGCAGCCCUUUUCUUGGGCCUGCCUUUUACCUCCAUCCUCCACUCCACUGAUGGCUCAGAGCCCAGAAUCCUGUCUUCAUCCUGGCAACAGUCCCUUCAGGGCCCAGCAGGAUGGGGGAAUGAAUAAAUGUGCCUGUUUCUGAACAUAAUCAUUAAAUUCUUUACCUGUAAUGUGGACAUUAAAGGUGAAUCAUUUCCCCCCUUA
rnacentral:lncRNA from 1 species